AGCUAAAAGGAGCCACCCGACUUUUAUUAAAAUAGAUAAAAGAAAUUACAAUUUGGAAGAGAGAACAAGAUCAAUUACAAAGAAAUCCUUGAUUUUUCUUAUGUAAACAUUGGUAAAGCCAUCAGUCUUAGCUGGAACAAGGAAAGCCACAUUAUCAACUUUGAACUCCUUAAAAUUAUAACUAAAUGGCAUCUAUUUUAAACAACCUGAUUAAAUUUGUACCCGAAGACAAGUGAAUCAUCUCAAUAGGAAAAGAUCUCAGUAUAAAACUGCCUCAAUGGGAAUGAAAGACUCCAUUAAUCUUAUUUUCAGAAGCUAAACUUUCUUGGACACGUCUAUGAAUACCACACUACUAAGAAAUCUAGUCUCAUAUGGUUGCUCAAUGGAACCAAAGCAAUCCCUUUAACAUAUCACCAAUCCUUCAUCCAUUUAUUAUUCAAUAUCAAGAAGAAUUCUGUUUAAGAAUUCUCAAGAAAAUUGGAAAAAAAAAAUCAAGUCUUUCUCCCAUAUAUCAAACAGUAAAGAAAUCCCAAGCAACCCCGCAAUGAGAGAAGGGAAUAAAAAUCAUGUUUUCGCCAGUUACAUACACAUUGACAAAUAAAUAAAAAUUGAAACUUUC
rnacentral:lncRNA from 1 species